GACCGUGAUGGGGGUGCUGUGAACAUGGGGCCGAGCAGCGCGAGUCGCCCCUGCUGCCACGGUGGCCGUGCUGGGGCUGCGGGCCCUCCCUGGGUGCCCCUGACCCCGCUCUGGGCACAGUGCUGGUGCGGCUGGAGGCUCGUUUGAAGGGCUUUGGUCCUGGUCCAGUUCUUUUCGUUUCGUUUUGUUUUGCCUUCCUUCACUUUGGGUGGGGACAGAGCUUGGCCUCCAGAAGAACAGCGAUUCAGUGCAAACCUCAGCCCCCCUGCAGCUCACGGUGCUGAAGGUAAAAGCACAGCGGUGGAGGGACAGCACUGACAAGGCGGCCACCAGGGCUGCGAGGUGACGAGUGGAGCUGUGGCUGCACGGAGGAGCAGACUCCUGGAAGACCAGCACGUCCAACUUGUUGAGUGGCAGAAGAGAGUGAAACCAGUUUUGUUGUAACAGCCAAACACACUUCUUGUGCAGACUGGGGCAGGCACUUUGGGAGGGGUAUUUCAGUGGGCUUGUGCCCCACUUUCAGGUGAUGUGGCGGUGGCGGUGGCAGGUGCUGGGGCGCUGCCCGUCCCCAGGGGCCAGCAGCAGCAGGGCCGUGGCCCCGCUCAGCUGCAGGUCGAGCUGUGCCCACUGCCACUGGCACCUGUGGUGGGACAGAAGGAGCAGAGCACUGCCGUGCUGUUCCAGCGGUCCCUCACAAGGCCAGCUUUGCAGAAGGAUGGGAUGCCCGAAGUGCAUCUGACUGCUGGGGAUUUAGUGCUGGGCCAGGUGAAGGCCGGCUGCCUGCGGAGCUGGGGACAGGUCUGGAAGCUGACCUCUCAGACCUCGCUGCUGGCGAGGGUCAGCACCGUGCCCCUCAUGGCUCAGCUGGCACAGCCAGCCCAUUUUUUAAUUGCUGACCUCGACAGAGACAGAGAUACUAAUUCACUUGACUUUUGCUUACUUUCAGUUUGACUCACGCUUUCUAAAAGUAUUUAAGCUAAAUACUCCUUGUGAAGCCCAGGAGGAACUUAAUUCUUUAAGAGCCUGUAAGCCAGCCAAAUGCACUCUUUUAUUUGUUUAUCACCUCAACAAUACCCCAAGGUCCAAGAAUGGCAUAUGAAGUGUGCGGUAAAUCACACUUAAAUACUUACAUUUUUAUUUAUUUGUUCAAAACAGCUUUACAGCAAGUCAUCAGGAACACCAGGGUCUGACCUGGCUACUUAACUUUCACCCUGAGGAUAAGCUAUUGCACAUGGGCGAUGUCACAGGCAAGGUGGCCGCAAGGCUAGGCUUAAUGUUUUUACUUUUCUAUGUCUUGUCUUGAUGCUAGUCCAUAUAAGUAAAGCUGAACUUUUAACUGC